rnacentral:lncRNA from 1 species
AGGAAAUAGAGAUACAGAGAGUUUAAGAAACUUGCUUAAACUUAUAAAACUACUAAGUAGCAGAUCUAGGAUUUGAGUCUGAAUUUAGCAUCUGUACUCCAUCUAAAUAUGAUGGUGAUGUGGGCUCAGCGAGUUGAGGAGUUGAAAGAAAGAUUUCUUGGAAUCUCAACGUUGGGUAGUAGUGUUUCUUUAUUCAGAGAAUAGCAUGGAGACAGGACCCAUGGGCAGUGAAGAGCUGCAAGUAUGGGCACAGGACCCAUGGGCAUGGAAGAGCAGCAAGUAUGGCCACAGGACCCAUGGGCAUGGAAGAGCAGCAAGCAUGGGGACAGGACCCAUAGGCAGUGAAGAGCUGUAAUGAGUUGGGGGUAGGGCUAAAUUUAUAAGGUAUAGGUAUGUGAGUUAUUUCUUUACAAGACAAAGGAAAGAUCAUGUAAAAAAAAUCAUUAAAAUGGUAUCAGUUCAGGUGGGGUCUGUUUAUCGGGUGGUCGUAUAGCUUUGGAUACGAAUCAGGUCAAAUCAGGUCAGGACGUCCUAUGCUUCCCGGAGGAUGAUAUAGAUCGGUAUGUAGGGCAGGAUGCCUUGGACUUCUCGCCCUGGGGCAGCCUUGAUCCUCAUUAUAAAAUUCCUCCUGACCUGGCCCUGAAAUCUUUUGGGAAUAUGGACGACGGUCAAUCUUCUGCAACUACUUCCAGCUGUACAAGGUUGUAGAGCUGUCCCUAAAUGGGGCCAUCGGGGUGCAGACAGGAAGUUCAGUGGACCGGAAGGUUGGGCCUGCAGAGUCCAAAGCAGACAAGUCCUAGGAAUUAACUACAUCACAAAGGCACAGAGAAACCCCUCAAGUUUUCUCCAAGAUGGAGUUUCUGGGGCAUAAUCCAUCCAAUUGAAAGCGUUUCCAAUUAAUUAAAUUCACCCGAUGGGUGAGUUUCCAGGGAUGCUUGAGGCAUUCCCCAUGGCUGUAAAGCCAGGGUCUGACUGACAGCAGCUGGAGAAAGGGUGCAGAGCCCGAUUGCAGGUGUCAACAUAGUUAUAAGUCCCACUCAGCCCAGGCACUUAGUCCCUGAGCCAGCACAAGGUGAGUCAGGGAAGCAGGAGUCAAAGGCCUGGAGGCUGGGGGCUGGGGCUCCCAGUGCCAGGGUUGAGAGUUAAGUCCCUGG